AGCUCUAUGAUUAAUCAGCCUAAUAUGGGCAAUAUACGCUAUUCCGAUUUGCAGAAAUGAGCAGAAAUUUUGAGAGAAAGAAUGAGAGCU
rfam:Gossypium raimondii Chr06_contig_237, whole genome shotgun sequence.